GCCAGGCGAGGUGGUGCAUGCCUGUAAUCCCAGUGGCUCAGGAGGCUGAAGCAGGAGGAUCAUGAGUUCAAAGCCACCUUCAGCAACUGUGAGACGCUAAGCAACUCAGUGAGACCCUGUCUCUA
rnacentral:sRNA from 1 species